rnacentral:rRNA from 1 species
UGCAGUCGAGCGGUACAGAUCUAGCUUGCUGGAUGCUGACGAGCGGCGGACGGGUGAGUAAUGCAUAGGAAUCUGCCCGAUAGUGGGGGAUAACCUGGGGAAACCCAGGCUAAUACCGCAUACGUCCUACGGGAGAAAGGGGGCUCCGGCUCCCGCUAUGGGAUGAGCCUAUGUCGGAUUAGCUAGUUGGUGAGGUAACGGCUCACCAAGGCCACGAUCCGUAGCUGGUCUGAGAGGAUGAUCAGCCACAUCGGGACUGAGACACGGCCCGAACUCCUACGGGAGGCAGCAGUGGGGAAUAUUGGACAAUGGGGGAAACCCUGAUCCAGCCAUGCCGCGUGUGUGAAGAAGGCCCUCGGGUUGUAAAGCACUUUCAGCGAGGAAGAACGCCUAGCGGUUAAUACCCGCUAGGAAAGACAUCACUCGCAGAAGAAGCACCGGCUAACUCCGUGCCAGCAGCCGCGGUAAUACGGAGGGUGCAAGCGUUAAUCGGAAUUACUGGGCGUAAAGCGCGCGUAGGUGGCUUGAUAAGCCGGUUGUGAAAGCCCCGGGCUCAACCUGGGAACGGCAUCCGGAACUGUCAAGCUAGAGUGCAGGAGAGGAAGGUAGAAUUCCCGGUGUAGCGGUGAAAUGCGUAGAGAUCGGGAGGAAUACCAGUGGCGAAGGCGGCCUUCUGGACUGACACUGACACUGAGGUGCGAAAGCGUGGGUAGCAAACAGGAUUAGAUACCCUGGUAGUCCACGCCGUAAACGAUGUCGACCAGCCGUUGGGUGCCUAGCGCACUUUGUGGCGAAGUUAACGCGAUAAGUCGACCGCCUGGGGAGUACGGCCGCAAGGUUAAAACUCAAAUGAAUUGACGGGGGCCCGCACAAGCGGUGGAGCAUGUGGUUUAAUUCGAUGCAACGCGAAGAACCUUACCUACUCUUGACAUCCUGCGAAUUUGGUAGAGAUACCUUAGUGCCUUCGGGAACGCAGAGACAGGUGCUGCAUGGCUGUCGUCAGCUCGUGUUGUGAAAUGUUGGGUUAAGUCCCGUAACGAGCGCAACCCUUGUCCUUAUUUGCCAGCGCGUAAUGGCGGGAACUCUAAGGAGACUGCCGGUGACAAACCGGAGGAAGGUGGGGACGACGUCAAGUCAUCAUGGCCCUUACAAGUAGGGCUACCCACGUGCUACAAUGGUCGG